rnacentral:lncRNA from 1 species
UUUUGAUGCUUUUCAUCCAUUAUUCCCCGAAUACUUACUGUCCAACAGGAAGUGAGAAGGUCGGAAGAGUGGCAUGAAGAGGAAACAAUCUUUGUAUGAUACACCACUACCUCCCAAUCUAGAAAUCUCUGGGUUUACAUAUUCCUUCUCAGAGAUGAUUUAUCAUAUCCCUAAAAUUUAGGGAUUGAAUAAUCACCACAUUCUCAAAUAAUGCAGCUUCCUCCUCUCCUGCCUUCUUGCCUCUCUUCCAUUAUUCUCAUUUUUCCAUAAGAUGUAAGAUAUCCAAAGAUAGUGGAUGCAAAGCAUCUAAACAGGCCCAUACUGAACAAAGAAUAUCCCAAACAUCUCUAGGGCUGGCCAACUGAGCUUG